CGAAAGCGAGGAAACCCGCACUCGCGUCCUCUAACGCAAAUGACCAUCUUUGGCAACGUGCGCCAAUGGAACAGACCAAGGGCGCUGGGCCCGGGGGAAAUUCCGGGUAGAUAUGCCUGGCUCAGGCAGUGCAUUCAUCCCCACCAUCAACGCCAUCACGACCAGCCAGGACCUGCAGUGGAUGGUGCAGCCCACAGUGAUCACCUCCAUGUCCAACCCGUACCCUCGCUCGCACCCCUACAGCCCCCUGCCGGGCCUGGCCUCUGUCCCUGGACACAUGGCCCUCCCAAGACCUGGCGUGAUCAAGACCAUUGGCACCACCGUGGGCCGCAGGAGGAGAGAUGAGCAGCUGUCUCCUGAAGAGGAGGAGAAGCGUCGCAUCCGGCGGGAGAG
rnacentral:sRNA from 1 species